GAUGAACGCUGGCGGCGUGCCUAAUACAUGCAAGUAGAACGCUGAAGGAGGAGCUUGCUCUUCUGGAUGAGUUGCGAACGGGUGAGUAACGCGUAGGUAACCUGCCUGGUAGCGGGGGAUAACUAUUGGAAACGAUAGCUAAUACCGCAUGACAACAGUUAUUGCAUGAUAACUGUUUAAAAGGGGCAACUGCUCCACUACCAGAUGGACCUGCGUUGUAUUAGCUAGUUGGUGAGGUAACGGCUCACCAAGGCGACGAUACAUAGCCGACCUGAGAGGGUGAUCGGCCACACUGGGACUGAGACACGGCCCAGACUCCUACGGGAGGCAGCAGUAGGGAAUCUUCGGCAAUGGACGGAAGUCUGACCGAGCAACGCCGCGUGAGUGAAGGAGGGUUUCGGAUCGUAAAGCUCUGUUGUAAGAGAAGAACGAGUGUGAGAGUGGAAAGUUCACACUGUGACGGUAGCUUACCAGAAAGGGACGGCUAACUACGUG
rnacentral:rRNA from 1 species